rnacentral:rRNA from 1 species
AUUGAACGCUGGCGGCAGGCCUAACACAUGCAAGUCGAGCGGAUGAGGGAAGCUUGCUUCCCGAUUUAGCGGCGGACGGGUGAGUAAUGCCUAGGAAUCUGCCUAUUAGUGGGGGAUAACGUUCCGAAAGGAACGCUAAUACCGCAUACGUCCUACGGGAGAAAGUGGGGGAUCUUCGGACCUCACGCUAAUAGAUGAGCCUAGGUCGGAUUAGCUAGUUGGUGAGGUAACGGCUCACCAAGGCGACGAUCCGUAGCUGGUCUGAGAGGAUGAUCAGCCACACUGGAACUGAGACACGGUCCAGACUCCUACGGGAGGCAGCAGUGGAGAAUGUUGGACAAUGGGCGAAAGCCUGAUCCAGCCAUGCCGCGUGUGUGAAGAAGGUCUUCGGAUUGUAAAGCACUUUAAGUUGGGAGGAAGAGUUGUAAGCUAAUACCUUGCAGCUUUGACGUUACCAACAGAAUAAGCACCGGCUAACUCUGUGCCAGCCGCCGCAGUAAAAC